AUAUAAAUUACUAUUUUCUAGAAUUAGACUGUAAUAUCCUAAAAUAAUAAUAAAUAAAUAAAUAUUUUUUUUCUUUUCUUCCCCCUCCUCUUUUUUUUUCUUUUUCUUCCUUUCUUCCCUCUCCCCUGUGUCGCCUCCUUUCCUUUUCGCGCCUGCCCCCGCCGACACUCUCCCCCCUUUCCCCUCCCUUACUAGUGCCACCUUCUCCUUCCUUCCCCCUUGUUGCUGACAUCAAGCGUGGGAAAGAAGAGCAGCCCCGCCGAAACAACCUCUUGCUGCCGUUCUUUCGCUCGCUCGACGUUGGAAAUGAGCUCCCUACCGUCGAAAAACCCUGAGCCGAGCUUCCUAGCCGUGUCAUCCCUGCCGGCAGUAGUGUGCAGCCUUGCUGGAGUUGAGACUUUUCGGCCUCAAUCCGAUGGCUUCGGGCGAGUUUCCGACAAAAGCAGUUACGUUUUCGGACUCUCCGCAAUUCAAGCUUCGCAUGGGCGUUUCCUGAUUCGAAAUUUGACACCAUUGGCAGCACCGGUUUUCGGACCUGGUGUUUUCCAGACGCCCAAAAUUUUAGAUUUUCAGCUUGGUGACAGUUAGGUUCUCCAUCGUCUUUCGCUUGAUAGCCCGAUUUUCUUCUCCUUCGGACUUAUUGUAAUUAAUUUUUAUUUUUACAUUUUGAAUUAUUUAAAAUUUUAAACUCUCCGCAGUAGUAUACGUUGCAUAUUUUGUUUGAUUUUAGUAUGUAACAAAUUAUGGAAUGUUUGCUAGCAUCCAGCUAGAGAUUUGUGAAUAAAAUGUUGGGCUGAUUUAAUAGUA